GAUGAACGCUAGCGGCAGGCCUAACACAUGCAAGUCGAGGGAGAAGCCCUUUCGGGGGCAGAAACCGGCGCACGGGUGCGUAACGCGUAUGCAACCUACCUUUCACAGGGGGAUAGCCCGAAGAAAUUUGGAUUAAUACCCCAUAAUAUUAUUGGAUGGCAUCAUUUGAUAAUUAAAACUGCGGUGGUGAAAGAUGGGCAUGCGUCCUAUUAGCUAGUUGGAGUGGUAACGGCACCCCAAGGCUACGAUAGGUAGGGGUCCUGAGAGGGAGAUCCCCCACACUGGUACUGAGACAGGGACCAGACUCCUACGGGAGGCAGCAGUGAGGAAUAUUGGUCAAUGGUCGGAAGACUGAACCAGCCAUGCCGCGUGCAGGAAGAAUGCCUUAUGGGUUGUAAACUGCUUUUAUAUGGGAAGAAUAAGGUGUACGUGUACAUUGAUGACGGUACCAUAUGAAUAAGCUCGAUCC
rnacentral:rRNA from 1 species